rnacentral:rRNA from 1 species
GACAGAGGUCCCAAGCGUUAGGCGGAAUCACUGGGCUUAAAGCGUGUGUAGGCGGAUUUGUAAGUACCUUGUGAAAUCCCACGGCUCAACCGUGGAACUGCUUGGUAUACUGCUUAUCUUGGGCCAUCUAGGGGCGAGCGGAACAAACGGUGGAGCGGUGAAAUGCGUAGAUAUGCGGAGGAACACCGAUGGCGAAGGCAAUCCCCUGGACCUGUACUGACGCUCAUGCACGAAAGCGUGGGGAGCAAACAGG